AAUCAACGCUGGCGGCGUGCCUAACACAUGCAAGUCGAACGCGAAAAGUUCCUUCGGGGAUGAGUAGAGUGGCGUCCGGGUGAGUAACGCGUGGGUAAUCUGCCUUUGGGUGGGGGAUAACUCAGGGAAACGUUGGGCUAAUACCGCAUAAUGCAGCGGCUCGACAUCGAGACAGUUGUUAAAGCAGCAAUGCGCCUGAAGAGGAGCCUGCGUCUGAUUAGCUAGUUGGUAAGGUAAUGGCUUACCAAGGCUACGAUCAGUAGCUGGU
rnacentral:rRNA from 1 species